rnacentral:rRNA from 1 species
AGAGUUUGAUCAUGGCUCAGAUUGAACGCUGGCGGCAGGCCUAACACAUGCAAGUCGAGCGGUAGCACAGAGAGCUUGCUCUCGGGUGACGAGCGGCGGACGGGUGAGUAAUGUCUGGGAAACUGCCUGAUGGAGGGGGAUAACUACUGGAAACGGUAGCUAAUACCGCAUAAUGUCGCAAGACCAAAGUGGGGGACCUUCGGGCCUCAUGCCAUCAGAUGUGCCCAGAUGGGAUUAGCUAGUAGGUGGGGUAACGGCUCACCUAGGCGACGAUCCCUAGCUGGUCUGAGAGGAUGACCAGCCACACUGGAACUGAGACACGGUCCAGACUCCUACGGGAGGCAGCAGUGGGGAAUAUUGCACAAUGGGCGCAAGCCUGAUGCAGCCAUGCCGCGUGUGUGAAGAAGGCCUUCGGGUUGUAAAGCACUUUCAGCGGGGAGGAAGGCGNNNNNNNNNNNNNNNNNNNNNNNGGUCUGUCAAGUCGGAUGUGAAAUCCCCGGGCUUAACCUGGGAACUGCAUUCGAAACUGGCAGGCUAGAGUCUUGUAGAGGGGGGUAGAAUUCCAGGUGUAGCGGUGAAAUGCGUAGAGAUCUGGAGGAAUACCGGUGGCGAAGGCGGCCCCCUGGACAAAGACUGACGCUCAGGUGCGAAAGCGUGGGGAGCAAACAGGAUUAGAUACCCUGGUAGUCCACGCCGUAAACGAUGUCGAUUUGGAGGUUGUGCCCUUGAGGCGUGGCUUCCGGAGCUAACGCGUUAAAUCGACCGCCUGGGGAGUACGGCCGCAAGGUUAAAACUCAAAUGAAUUGACGGGGGCCCGCACAAGCGGUGGAGCAUGUGGUUUAAUUCGAUGCAACGCGAAGAACCUUACCUGGUCUUGACAUCCACAGAACUUUCCAGAGAUGGAUUGGUGCCUUCGGGAACUGUGAGACAGGUGCUGCAUGGCUGUCGUCAGCUCGUGUUGUGAAAUGUUGGGUUAAGUCCCGCAACGAGCGCAACCCUUAUCCUUUGUUGCCAGCGGUCCGGCCGGGAACUCAAAGGAGACUGCCAGUGAUAAACUGGAGGAAGGUGGGGAUGACGUCAAGUCAUCAUGGCCCUUACGACCAGGGCUACACACGUGCUACAAUGGCAUAUACAAAGAGAAGCGACCUCGCGAGAGCAAGCGGACCUCAUAAAGUAUGUCGUAGUCCGGAUUGGAGUCUGCAACUCGACUCCAUGAAGUCGGAAUCGCUAGUAAUCGUAGAUCAGAAUGCUACGGUGAAUACGUUCCCGGGCCUUGUACACACCGCCCGUCACACCAUGGGAGUGGGUUGCAAAAGAAGUAGGUAGCUUAACCUUCGGGAGGGCGCUUACCACUUUGUGAUUCAUGACUGGGGUGAAGUCGUAACAAGGUAACCGUAGGGGAACCUGCGGUUGGAUCACCU